UACGUAGGGUGCGAGCGUUGAUCGGAAUUACUGGGCGUAAAGCGUGCGCAGGCUGUUCUGUAAGUCAGAUGUGAAAUCCCCGAGCUCAACUUGGGAACUGCGUUUGAAACUACAGGACUAGAAUAUGUCAGAGGGGGGUAGAAUUCCACGUGUAGCAGUGAAAUGCGUAGAGAUGUGGAGGAAUACCAAUGGCGAAGGCAGCCCCCUGGGAUAAUAUUGACGCUCAUGCACGAAAGCGUGGGGAGCAAACAGG
rnacentral:rRNA from 1 species